rnacentral:rRNA from 1 species
UACGGGGGUCGCAAGCGUUGUUCGGAUUUACUGGGCGUAAAGGGCGCGUAGGCGGCGUGACAAGUCACUUGUGAAAUCUCCGGGCUUAACUCGGAACGGUCAAGUGAUACUGUCGUGCUAGAGUACAGAAGGGGCAACUGGAAUUCUCGGUGUAGCGGUGAAAUGCGUAGAUAUCGAGAGGAACACCUGCGGCGAAGGCGGGUUGCUGGGCUGAUACUGACGCUGAGGCGCGAAAGCCAGGGGAGCGAACGGG